rnacentral:rRNA from 1 species
GCGGAAUAGCCACUGGAAACGGUGAGUAAUACCGCAUACGCCCUUCGGGGGAAAGAUUUAUCGGAGAAGGAUCGGCCCGCGUUAGAUUAGAUAGUUGGUGGGGUAAUGGCCUACCAAGUCUACGAUCUAUAGCUGGUUUUAGAGGAUGAUCAGCAACACUGGGACUGAGACACGGCCCAGACUCCUACGGGAGGCAGCAGUGGGGAAUUUUCCGCAAUGGGCGAAAGCCUGACGGAGCAAUGCCGCGUGAAGGCAGAAGGCCCACGGGUCAUGAACUUCUUUUCUCGGAGAAGAAAAAAUGACGGUAUCUGAGGAAUAAGCAUCGGCUAACUCUGUGCCAGCAGCCGCGGUAAGACAGAGGAUGCAAGCGUUAUCCGGAAUGAUUGGGCGUAAAGCGUCUGUA